GUCUAUAUGAAGUUAAAUAAAGUCUAUUCUGCCCAUUGAAUAAAUAUUUAAAAGGCCGCAGUAUCCUAACUGUGCAAAGGUAGCAUAAUCAUUAGUUUUUUAAUUGGAGGCUUGUAUGAACGAUUGGACAAGAGCUAAACUGUCUCUUUUUUAAAAAUUGAAUUUUAUUAUUAAGUGAAAAAGCUUAAAUGAGUAAGAAGGACGAUAAGACCCUAUAAAUCUUUAUAAGAGUUAGUUUUUAAAUAAAAAUAUUUAUUUAAUUUAUUUAAAAAUUUAAAUUAUUAUGCUGGGGUGGUGUUAAUAUAUAAUAAACUGUUAAUAAAUGAGACAAAUAUAUUUGAAGAAUAAAAGAUCCUUGUUGAGGAUUAAAAGAGAAAGUUACUUUAGGGAUAACAGCAUAAUUUCUUUUGAGAGUUCAGAUCGAAAAGGAAGUUUGUGACCUCGAUGUUGAAUUAAGAAUUCCUUAUGGUGCAGCAGUUAUAAAGGAAAGUCUGUUCGACUUUUAAAUUCUUACAUGAUUUGAGUUCAGACCGGCGUGAG
rnacentral:rRNA from 1 species